AACGUAGGAGACAAACGUUAUCCGGAGUUACUGGGCGUAAAGGGCGUGUAGGUGGUUACGUAAGUCUGGCGUGAAAUUUUUCGGCUUAACCGGGAAAGGUCGUCGGAUACUGCGGGACUAGAGGACGGUAGAGGCGUGUGGAAUUCCGGGUGUAGUGGUGAAAUGCGUAGAGAUGGGGGAGAACACUCGUGGCGAAGGCGGCCAGCUAGACCAGUUCUGACACUGAGGCGCGACAGCGUGGGGAGCAAACAGG
rnacentral:rRNA from 1 species